GAUGAACGCUAGCGGCAGGCUUAACACAUGCAAGUCGAGGGGUAUAGUUCUUCGGAACUAGAGACCGGCGCACGGGUGCGUAACGCGUAUGCAAUCUACCUUUUGCAGAGGGAUAGCCCAGAGAAAUUUGGAUUAAUACCUCAUAGUAUGUGAGAAUGGCAUCAUUUUCACAUUAAAGUCACAACGGCAAAAGAUGAGCAUGCGUCCCAUUAGCUUGUUGGUAAGGUAACGGCUUACCAAAGCAACGAUGGGUAGGGGUCCUGAGAGGGAGAUCCCCCACACUGGUACUGAGACACGGACCAGACUCCUACGGGAGGCAGCAGUGAGGAAUAUUGGACAAUGGGCGCAAGCCUGAUCCAGCCAUGCCGCGUGCAGGAUGACGGUCCUAUGGAUUGUAAACUGCUUUUAUACAGGAAGAAACGACUCUUGCGAGAGGCAUUGACGGUACUGUAUGAAUAAGCACCGGCUAACUCCGUGCCAGCAGCCGCAGUAAUAC
rnacentral:rRNA from 1 species